AUUGAACGCUGGCGGCAUGCCUUACACAUGCAAGUCGAACGGCAGCACGGGUGCUUGCACCUGGUGGCGAGUGGCGAACGGGUGAGUAAUACAUCGGAACAUGUCCUGUAGUGGGGGAUAGCCCGGCGAAAGCCGGAUUAAUACCGCAUACGAUCUACGGAUGAAAGCGGGGGACCUUCGGGCCUCGCGCUAUAGGGUUGGCCGAUGGCUGAUUAGCUAGUUGGGGGGGUAAAGGCCUACCAAGGCGACGAUCAGUAGCUGGUCUGAGAGGUCGACCAGCCACACUGGGACUGAGACACGGCCCAGACUCCUACGGGAGGCAGCAGUGGGGAAUUUUGGACAAUGGGCGAAAGCCUGAUCCAGCAAUGCCGCGUGUGUGAAGAAGGCCUUCGGGUUGUAAAGCACUUUUGUCCGGAAAGAAAUCCUUGGCCCUAAUACGGUCGGGGGAUGACGGUACCGGAAGAAUAAGCACCGGCUAACUACGUG
rnacentral:rRNA from 1 species